CAUAGAAUUCUAUUGUGUAUAUAUAACACAUUUUCUUGAUCCAUUCAUCUACUGAGAGGCAUCUGAGUUGGUUCCAUAUCUUAGCUAUGGUAAAUAAUGCUACAAUAAACUUGCUUGUGCUGGUAGGUUUAGUAUGUGCUUGUUUGUGGUCUUUGGGCAAAU